rnacentral:rRNA from 1 species
AUGACAGGAUCCAACUUGAGUGUACAUGGACAUCAACAUGUCUAUGAUGCUCUCCCAAAAUCUCGGGCUGCAGUUGGUGAAAUGAUUGAGGAGAGUAUAGCUGCAGCUAUGCGAAAGUUGUUCGGAGGCCGUCUUCCUAUCACGGGCAAUGGGGAUCAACAUCAACACAGCCCUACUACCUCGCUGGCCCCGGACAACCGACAACGCCAAGGAAAUGAGGAUCGCCACGAUGGUCGUGGAAGAGCGGCAGGAGCUGUUGCCCACGGCACCCUUGCUGUUGGGGCUAAAUGGAGGCGUGGCGAAUUUUCUACCCCCCGUGAGGGUGGGUAA